UACGUAGGGCGCAAGCGUUGUCCGGAAUUAUUGGGCGUAAAGGGCGCGUAGGCGGCUAGAUGUGUCAAAGGUGAAAUCCCUCGGCUCAACUGAGGAACUGCCUUUGAAGCUGUCUGGCUUGAGGCCGGGAGAGGGUAGCGGAAUUCCCAGUGUAGCGGUGAAAUGCGUAGAUAUUGGGAGGAACACCAGUGGCGAAGGCGGCUACCUGGACCGGUUCUGACGCUGAGGCGCGAAAGCGUGGGUAGCAAACAGG
rnacentral:rRNA from 1 species